rnacentral:rRNA from 1 species
AGGACGAACGCUGGCGGCGUGCUUAACACAUGCAAGUGGAGCGACGAACCAGGGCUUGUCCUGGGGCAGAGCCGCGAACGGGUGAGUAACACGUGGGUUACCUGCCUCGAUGACCGGGACAACCCGAGGAAAACUCGGGCUAAUACCGGAUGUGCCCGCAAGGGGAAAGGAAGCUUCGGCCUCCGCAUCGAGAUGGGCCCGCGGCCCAUUAGCUUGUUGGUGAGGUAACGGCUCACCAAGGCUUCGAUGGGUAGCUGGUCUGAGAGGACGAUCAGCCACACUGGGACUGAGACACGGCCCAGACUCCUACGGGAGGCAGCAGUGGGGAAUCUUGCGCAAUGCGCGAAAGCGUGACGCAGCAACGCCGCGUGGGGGAAGAAGGCUUUCGGGUUGUAAACCCCUUUCAGUUGGGACGAAGCUUCGACGGUGAAUAGCCGGACGGAGUGACGGUACCUUCACAAGAAGCACCGGCUAACUACGUGCCAGCAGCCGC